AGUGAACGCUGGCGGUAGGCCUAACACAUGCAAGUCGAACGGCAGCACAGUAAGAGCUUGCUCUUACGGGUGGCGAGUGGCGGACGGGUGAGGAAUACAUCGGAAUCUACUUUUUCGUGGGGGAUAACGUAGGGAAACUUACGCUAAUACCGCAUACGACCUACGGGUGAAAGCAGGGGAUCUUCGGACCUUGCGCGAUUGAAUGAGCCGAUGUCGGAUUAGCUAGUUGGCGGGGUAAAGGCCCACCAAGGCGACGAUCCGUAGCUGGUCUGAGAGGAUGAUAGCCACACUGGAACUGAGACACGGUCCAGACUCCUACGGGAGGCAGCAGUGGGGAAUAUUGGACAAAGGGCGCAAGCCUGAUCCAGCCAUACCGCGUGGGUGAAGAAGGCCUUCGGGUUGUAAAGCCCUUUUGUUGGGAAAGAAAAGCAGCAGGUUAAUACCCCGCUGUUCUGACGGUACCCAAAGAAUAAGCACCGGCUAACUUCGUG
rnacentral:rRNA from 1 species